GGGUGGGGGGCACAUAUCUGUACGAUAUAUCUGUGAAUGGUUUCUGUGAAUGCAUUUCCACAGACGCCAGCCCCCAGCCCCCAGCAUGAGACGUCAAUUAAACUCUGCCGCAGCAGCAGCAACAGCAGCAGCCGUCAAGACCGACUACUACCGACUGCUGUGGCACAUGCCCCCUCUGGCACGGAAAGCCAAAGACCAUUCAAAUCACUGGAGCUUUCAGUAAGCUAAAAAGACUGCGUUUUUAUGGACCAUCUAGCCACGCACUGCCCCGACCACCGCAGGAAAGUGAGAGUAAACUUACGACGAUACUUAGGGAAUGCCACAAAUGUAACAAUCAAGAAACUCUGCUGUAAUAGUAAUUAUAAUCCGAAAAUGAGCCCCAGAAGGGCAGGAGCAAUGAGAAAGAAAGCCACAGAUAACCCCCCAGCCCUGAAGACCGAGCUAUGAUUAAGUGAUGGCGAUUCAAUUAAAUGUUGGAAAGCUUUCUGAAACGAAGAAGACGGGCGCACGCCUCUUCCUGCCGGGUGGAAAAAGUGCAACCCAAUUGCUGCGCCUCUGCCGGAAGAGAGCAUGGAGCGUCGGUGCGGUGCGGUGCCUAAUUAAUUAUACAGCCAGCCACUGCUUCAUUGUUUUCUCUUCCCCCCGAAAUAAGUGGGAGCGGGAGAGGAAGAGCAACAGCCGUGCUAAACAUGACAAAGCGUCAAAGCGCAAGCCGCAGAGGCAAAAUAACCGUUAAAUGUUUGGUGUCGCAGCAGCAGCGGCACCGGCAGCGACAGCGGCAGCAGCAGAGGUUUUAAAGUGUGAGAACUGCUUUUGAAGAGAGAAUUAGAGUGAGAGAGGGAGAGAGGAUGAGCUAUGAGGUGUAUUCAAAGCAAGGCAUGAUAAUAAGAGGGUAUGCGAGUGCGUGAAAGCUGCCGCUGCAGGACCUAUACCUAUGCGCAUACCCCAAUUAGUGCCUCACCUUCCGUUUAACAUAGUUUUGUGUAGAGGUGUGGUGGGAAAUCAGCAGGCAGAGCAGCAGGCAGAGUUCGGCUUGAGUUGGUGUGUGGGGUAAUUGUGAUCAUAACUGUCACCACACGCACGCACACACACACACACACUCCACACUCUCUCCGUCUCUCUUUAACAGUGUUCUUAUUAAAAUGUCUUCAAAAGGCUUGUUAGGACCGGCAGCGGAGCGUGAACACCUCUCUUCCCAGACAAAGACUUGUUUUCAUUAUUUUCUUUUUUUGGCCAGAGGAAAAACUAACAGAGCAACGGUAAACGGGCAAUUUUUGCGCAAGUGACGAACAAGUAAUAAUUAUUUAAACAGUUAAGCCACCGCACCGGCAACCAGAGACGCCACACUCUCAUGCCACAUGCGGCAUGUGCAUUGUACUAGUACUUUGCGGCGACCCGGCAUCUUUUGUGGCGGCCCGAUCGAGUGGAAAGCGAAAGUUGCUGCCGCCACAUGCGGCGGUAUGCCUUAUGCCCCAUGCCCCCCUCCCUUCCCCCGCCCGGUGCAUCAUGUGAUCAGGCAUCAUGCUCUGGCCAAUGCUAUUGCUGCUGGCAGCGAUAUGCUGACAAUCCUAAUGGCCUCCAACUUAACUGGGUUAUGGUUUAUGGCUAAUUACCAUGCCAUUAUCCACUGCGGGCAAUCCACCAAUCCCCCAGUGAAGCCCAAGCAAAGGUCAAGCCACUUGACUCCUUCGGUGUGGCACCUCUCCUCUCUGCACACCCCCCACUCAUGCAUGGCCUGUGGGUUCUGUGUUCUACCGGAGAAAGUGUCACGCUGUGUCUGGCUUCCGAUUACUGGGUACUUUCUUUGGCUUCUCCCUUGGGCCUAGGGAGUGUGUCCAACCCGUACAGCCCCAUGGGUUAAUUCUUUUUUAACCCACUUGCUGUUUUCGAUGUUUUUGAGUUUGACUUUUCCCCUGGGAACCUCUCAAUUUUCCUUCAAAUUGAAAUAUGAGCCAAAUCGAACUGUGGCGAAUGGAAAAGUGUCACCCCCUCCUGCCAUCUGCCUCGUGGCCCCCUGGCCCCAUGGGUAAAGUGAUCUUAACUGAGAAAAACCUUUCACACACAAAGAGCCUGGGGGGGCACUGCGACAAAACCUGACCGCUAGCCAGGUGGAGGCCAGGCCGCCGAGGCCCGAGUGCCUGCGAGUGCAGGAGUGCAGGUGGCUCUGAAGAGUGGCCUAUCCUGUGGCUUUGUCUGGUCUUUUGGUGAUGACAAAAAUUAAUGUAUAUCGACGACAGAGCACAGGAGGAUAGGAGGCUAGGAGGAUCGGAGGACAGGGGACUGAGGCACUGAGUCUAGGCGAAAGAUCUCCAGAUGUUCGGGGAGGUUUGAAGAUUCGAAGAAGCUUUGCUGGGCUGUGUUUUUGCUAAUUGCGUUUACGAGACAAACCAAAGCAAAAACGAGAGAGGGCGAAUUAGCUUCUGGGCGAAUUCCCAAUCAGAACAGGAGAACGAUGCCGAAUUAGCUUCUGGGCGAAUUCCCAAUCAGCACAGGAGAGCGAGGCGAAUUAGCUUCUGGGCGAAUUCCCAAUCACCGCAGGAGCGAGCGAGCGCGCACUUGAGAGCGCAAAGCAAAGAACGAGCGAGGGAGGGCGAAUUAUUGAGAGCACGAAGUAGAUCGGCGAGAGAGCCGCCGAAAAAGCUUCAAGCCAGCCUCGCAGCCGACGAAAGGGUUUGCGCAGUUUCUUGUGCCAUUAUAUUUCUGUAUUUAAUCACUAAUUAAAACUUUAUCCCGUAUUAAUAAUGAAAAACCCCACUGAAGACAUUUACAAGCUCCUCCUCCUCCUAAUCUUCGUAGACGUCAGCGGCGGGAAUUCAUUACGACAGUUUUCUAAUUAACC
rnacentral:sRNA from 1 species